UACGUAGGGUGCAAGCGUUGUCCGGAAUUAUUGGGCGUAAAGAGCUCGUAGGCGGUUUGUCGCGUCUGCUGUGAAAACUCGGGGCUUAACCCCGGGCCUGCAGUGGGUACGGGCAGACUAGAGUGCGGUAGGGGAGACUGGAAUUCCUGGUGUAGCGGUGAAAUGCGCAGAUAUCAGGAGGAACACCGGUGGCGAAGGCGACUUUCUGGACAGAUACUGACACUGAGGCACGAAAGCAUGGGGAGCAAACAGG
rnacentral:rRNA from 1 species